GGCGCGCCCUCGGUCUGUUCGCUAGCCUGCAGCUUUGAGAAAGGCGUCUGAGGGAAUCUGACGCCCCGGCUUCAGCUCGGCCUUCAGGACUGUGGACUUUCCUAAAGGCGGCUCGAAGCAGACAACAAAAGCUUGUUCCUACGACGGGCCUCGCACCUGUGUAUCUGGCGGUGCCUGAGGAGGGUAAAUCCGGUGUUUCCUAUGUGCUUGUGAGACGCAAAAUAUUCCACAGGCCGCGUUACACCUUCACUGACAGUCUGUGACUCACGCAGCGUCGAAUUGUUUGGCAGGAAGGCACGCCAGUUCCGUUAUCUCAAAAUCCGCCCAAAUUUAACUUUAGUAGAAAUUCUUUGCGUGAAUGAUGGGAAACAUCAGACUACAAGAAAACGUUUCCUUCCCGAGGAGGCAGCUGGGUGUAAGCUCAAGUGGCAGUGGCUGCUUUGAAUUCGGCCUCUUCAGAAAGCGUUAGGGGCGGGUGAAGGUCGUGGAUGGUCAACUUCCUGUGAAAUGUGAUUUAAGGGACCCAAAAAGCAGCUCGGUCCAAAAUUACUUAACCUGAAAUUGCCAAUUAAAGGUAAAGAAAUACAAGAAAGAAAAGCAGCGAAUAGACUAAGGAGAAAAAUCUGAAGAGGAAAGUUAAGCCUACAGAAACCAGAACAAAUCAAACCCAUUGCCUGCAAGUCGAUUCCUACUCAUAGAGACCCUAUAGGACAGAGUAGAACUGCCCCAUAGGGUUUCCAAGGCUGUAAUCUUCGUGGAAGAAGACCGCCACAUCUUUCUCCCAUGGAGUGGGUGCUCACAGGACCUUGAGAAGAGAAGAGCAGAGAAGAAAGAAGAGGUGAACUCUCCUGGGGCAUUAAGUUGGAGGUGAGUGUUCUAAUCAGUUGGCUAUAGUAAGGGAGACUAGGUUUCUGCGGUUUAAUACCUAACAGAGCAGGAAGCAAAUGAGCACUGAGCUAUGUGGCACCUUUUUCUUGCCGUCUUUAAACAAACAUAACAUAAGGCCAAAAGAACAAAGGUGAGUCUAGUAUAUGGAGCUGGGUUUCCUGGUGUCUUUGCUCAAUAUCUUGGCAUUUGUUCUGUGUUUACAGUCUAAGCAACAAACAUGAGGUGAUGAAACAAGGAGGGAAGUACAAAAUAAUGACCAUAACAUAAAGGUACUCUUUACCUUGAGCUUUGUGAUGAGUGGAGAACAGAGGAGGGAUGAAGGCAUCAGCUGUACUCGGUCUUCCUUUGAUUCAUCUGUGGCCCAGACUUGCUCCAUUCAACAGUAUGCAGUUAUCCAGUAUUGCAGUAGAGCUACCAGAACGUAAUGAGACUGUGAAAAGCAUGUGAUGUAAUCACUUUUUCAGGGAAGCUUGUUGGGACUAGUGAUAAUAGCUGUAUGCCAAGUACUCCUUGGUAUUGAGCAUAAAGAAGGUGCUCAAUAAAUAUUUUAAGUGACUUGACUCUUACAUAGGCUCUAGUCCUGGACUCUAUUCCUUUAGCGAUACAACCUGGGGGAAUACAUAGGUAUACGUUGGGAGAACAAAGAAAUACACAGGCUAAUUUUUUUUGCUUAUGUGUCCCAGUUUCAUCUGGGGGUGGUAGUAGAGAUGGGGAUCAUGGAUAACAGGACAAAAACUCAGUCAAGGACAUGAGGCUAAUGGAGUGUCAGUGGGCCUAUAUCCUGCCUUAGAGAGCCAAAGGAAAGAAGUGACAGCUUUCAGUGUAACUGGGGUGUCUUUGUUUAGCUAGCUUCCUACCUAUAAUAUUCUAGGAUCUUAAACAAGUUAAAUUCAAAAAGCUUUUUUUUUUUGGAAAGACCUAUGAGAUAUAAUCUAUGCAAACAAUGUGGAGACUCAUGGAGAAACACUUUGACAAAGGCAUUGCAUCGUAACUGUAAGAAAUGUUAACUAUGAAGCAACAAGGAAUGCCAGAGUAUAUAAGAGCUUUGUGACUAGGGGGAGCCAUGGAUGAAAGGAGCAGCAUGGAGCAUCAGUAACCUAGUCUGGGUAUCAUUUACUCUGAAGAAAUGAAAUAAUGAAAUAGUCUGAGAGCAGAGACCAGAAUUAAUGCUGUUUCUGAGGGUGCCUAAUGUAAUGGUAGUAUAAAGCAACUCUGAGUGGGUAUCGUAGUUACUUUUUGUCUUAUUUCCAGAGCAAAGAGUGAAGGCAAAGGCAUAAAUCACAAAAAGAAUCUGUGACAAGGAAAUGCAACUAGAACUCUCCUGAUGGAAUCCAAGAGAGUUCAUGUGUCCCUUUACACUAGAAAAGAUUUCCCAGUGAGCAACACAACCAGCUGAGGUACCAAUGAGGUCAGGGAAACAAUUUUUUACUAUGUAAGUGAUCAUGGGAAACUCUGGUGGUGUAGUGGUUAAGUGCUAUGGCUACUAACCAAAGGGUCGGCAGUUCGAAUCCACCAAGUGCUCCUUGGAAACUCUGUGGGGCAGUUCUACUCUGUCCUAUAGGGUCGCUAUGAGUCAGAAUCGACUCGAUGGCACUGGGUUUGGUUUGGUUUUUGGAAGUGAUAAAGGCCUGAAAGGAUUAAGCAGUUGCCAAUUUUGCCAAAUUAAGUCAUUUGUUAACAGCGUACACCAGGAUGACAGCAGAAUAUUUGUUUCCACGUUGUCUUUGUGAUUUGAAUACUGGCAUUAUUUCCAACUUUCUAGUUGUAUGAUUUUCUCCAUUUCCCACAAGGACCAGUCAGUUGAAGAAUAUUUGGCUAGCAGACAUCAGGAAAAUACCAUGCAUAGCAACCGAAGAUGUAUGUGUUAUGGAAAAACAUCACAGCCCUGUACAAUCAACAAG